GGGUAUAUGUGUGUGCAGUGUUGGUGUUUGAAUGCAGGGUGUAUGUGUGUGCAGUGUUGGUGUUUGAAUGUAGGGGUGUAUGUGUGUGCAGUGUUGGUGUUUGAAUGCAGGGUGUAUGCGUGUGCAAUGUUGGCGUUUGAAUGCAGGGUGUAUGUGUGUGCAGUGUUGGUGUUUGAAUGCAGGGUGUAUGUGUGUGCAGUGUUGGUGUUUGAAUGCAGGGUGUAUGUGUGUGCAGUGUUGGUGUUUGAAUGCAGGGUGUAUGUGUGUGCAGUGUUGGUGUUUGAAUGUAGGGGUGUAUGUGUGUGCAGUGUUGGUGUUUGAAUGCAGGGUGUAUGCGUGUUCAAUGUUGGCGUUUGAAUG